rnacentral:rRNA from 1 species
CCGCACGCGCGCUACACUGAAUAGAUCAGCGUGUUCUCCCUUUCUGAGAAGAACGGGUAAACCGCUGAACCCUAUUCGUGGUAGGGAUCGGGGCUUGCAAUUAUUCCCCGUGAACCAGGAAUUCCCAGUAGGCGCGAGUCAUAAGCUCGCGUCGAUUACGUCCCUGCCCUUUGUACACACCGCCCGUCGCUACUACCGAUUGAAUGGGUAAUCCCGCG